AUUCAAAAAUAGGUAUGAUAGUAUAAAUUCGAUGGAAUUGUGAUAAUACAGAAGAGAGAAGAAGCCAAUUAAUGUUCGAUGUGGGCGCAUCGAACAAGAUUUGAGUGGUGUUCUGGCAGAGCUAACCCGCUCAAAUUUGCAAUGGUUGUGCAUACCAGUACAAACUAGUUUAUCUGCUGAAAAAUUAAAAAGGAAUCAUAAUACGUACAGAAAACGUCGUAGCUACUAACGCAGUUAUAAACAAUUCACAUUUGCUACAACUAUUUGAAGGCAUAAUGAAACGAACAUAGUCACAUGCAAAAGUACUAUGCAGGCCUACCUUAAUAAGCAUAUUGAAACAACGUAAUUUGCGCUCUGUCAACAGAGGCGCUAGCUAUCAGUUAGUAAGGUAGGCCUAUGUCUAUUUUAUGAGCCCUCUCACUUUUUGAAAGUUGGUGGGUAGGUGGCGUCCUCAACAAGACAAGCGACUGAAAAAGGUGUUCAGUAGUGAUAAUGAAACCAACAUAGUAUCAUGCAAUAAUACUGUACAGGCCUAAAUUAGUAAGCAAAUUUGAAACUACGUUAUUUCCAACCUGUUAACUGAGCCGCUAGAUCUAUCAGGUAGUAAGGAAACAGUGAAUUCACAAAGCCAGAAUUUAAACAGAAAACGUGAAGAUUACAUAAUCAUUAUACAUUGGCAGAAAAAAAAAGCAAGAGUAUUCUUUAAAGCGUAUAGUGAACAAUCUUUUAAUUAUGCUAUUAUUUUUUCUUAUUUAUAUUUGUGCUUUACGUCACAUAGAUGGUGUAAUUACAGUCACUAUGGCACCACAAAAAAUGUGUGUUCUAGAAAAAGAUUAUAAUGUUGAUUUCAAUUGCACCAUUCAACCACCUAGCGCGGAUAAUGCUGAACACAAGAUGAAAUGGUUUUUUCAAAGUGAACUAAUUAAUUUUGAUGACGAAACAGUUCUAGAUAACGGUGUAACAAUAAAAAAAUACAAAGAACUGAACAAUAAACUAAGCAUAAGGAAUAUCGAACGUCGAGACGAAGGCCAUUACAAAUGUCAAGUUGAAAAGACAGCUGUCGAAGACAUUGGUGAGCUGACAGUGGGUAAUUGUCUAGACGAAAACCCCUUCGUAAGAUGUGACAUGACUCUUUCCAACUCAACGUCACGUACAGAUCGUAACAACAUAACGAUGAUUGCCGGACACAUUCUUCAUGUAAAUAUAUCUUGCAAGGACUUUUAUUGGCAACAAUGUUUUAGUCAACAUUAGAAUAAUAAAUGUUGCUAACCAUAGCAUUGCAUCUGCACUUCCUGUCUAUUCUCACGUUGAAGAACAGUCCAGU
rnacentral:misc_RNA from 1 species